rnacentral:lncRNA from 1 species
AUGUCUUUUUGCCUUUUCUAGGGCCACUUCCUGCGGCAUAUGGAGGUUCCCAGGCCAGGGGUCAAAUUGGAGCUGUAGCCGCCGGCCUACGCCAGAGCCACAGCAACGUGGGAUUCAAGCCGCGUCUGCAGCCUACACCACAGCUCACGGCAACGCCGGAUCGUUAACCCACUGAGCAAGGGCAGGGAUCAAACCAGCAACCUCACGGUUCCUAGUCAGAUUCGUUAACCACUGCGCCACGACGGGAACUCCAGUUAACAAUUUUUAAAGUAUGAGUUUCUGAGUAAAUAUAUUUGUCAGAUUCAUAGUGGAUUCAUGACAGAGUCUUGUAUGUUUGAAGAAAAAUAUAGGGAGACACAUUGCCCCAACAGAGAGUGGAGAAAGGGGAGAAGAAAUAAAUAAUAUUGGUCUAAAAGAUGGUGAAAUAAAGAUUUUUUAAACAAAAUUAAUUUUAAUUGCAAAAUUUAUUUAUAUCUUAAUAUAGGAAAUACAGUAACUUGGUUCUCAAUAUAUCUGUGAAUUAAAUCCCUACAUAUAAAAUCACUAGAUCAAAGGGUAUGUUUAUUUGCAAUGUUGCCAAAUUGCCCUCUAUAAAAAUUGUACCUACUUAUACCCCUACCAACAAUCUCUGAGAAAAACUGUGUUCCCACAUCUUCUAACACAAAUUAUCGAACUUUUUCAUAUUUGCUAAUCUGAAAGAUGAUAAAUGAAACCCCAGCAGUUCCCAUUGUGGUUUUCAGUGGGUUAAGGACACAGCAUUGUCUCUGUGAGGAUGCUGGUUCAACCCCUGGCCUUACUCAGUGGGUUAAGGAUCCAGCAUUGCAGCAAACAACAGCAUGGGUCGCAGAUGCGGCUCAGAUCCAGUGUUGUUGUGGCUGUGACGUAGGCCCCAGCUGCAGCUCCACUUUGAUCCCUGGCCCAGAAACUUUCAUAUGGUGCAGGUGCAACUGUAAAAAGAAAAAAAAAAAAUGAUACCCCAAUGAGUUCAAUGUGCACUACUCCGCCUUUACUACAGGUUUGCCCUUACUAGUGGGACUUUUCAUUUUCUAUAAAUUUUUACUUCCUGUAGAAUCCUUUUCUUUUCCACUUAAAGAAGACCCUUUAAAAUUACUUUUAGGUCUGCUUCAGUAUUGAUGAACUCUUUUAGUUUUCAUUUGUCUGUGGAGUCUUUUAUCUCUCCAUCAAUUCUGAAUGAUGAUCUUGCUAGGUAGAGUAUCCUAGGUUGUAGGUUUUCCCUUUUCAGCACUUUCAAUAUAUCAUGGCAUUCCCUUCUGGCCUGCAAAGUUGCUGCAGAAAAAUCUUCUGACAACCUUACAGGGAUUCCCUUGUUUGUAACGCUUUAUUUUCCAAUUGUUGUCUUUAGAAUUCUCUACCUUUAACUUUCACCAUUUUAAUUAUGAUAUUUAUAGGGACAAAGUAAAGGCACAAAGUAGGUUCUUGAAGAGUUAAUUCCACUAGGGGAUCAUAAGUUUUUAAAAAGUAUGGAAGACCUGAGAAAGUGUAUGAUCACUCGAAAAGCAGAUUUGCUUAACAACAAAACCAUGCCAUAAAAGCACAGCCAUGCCCCCAAACAAAAAAAAACAGUGGUAAAAUGAGACCCACAUCCUGCCCAGUAAGGUCAGUAAGUUAAUAAUUCUUAAGACAUACUCCUCAGCACACACUAAAAGCGAAAAUAUAGAAAAGGGUGACAUCAUCCUAAACCUAAAAUAAUUUACCAUAUUUUAGUACACGAUACUGCCUUUUUACCCAUUUCCACUGCACCAUGACAGUCCCAGUUUGAUCGUGAAGGGACAAGAAAACUCUCCCACCAGCCAUGAAGGAGGAGCUGAUGAUGUAAGUUUAACAUCUACUCAGGAAUGAGGAAGGAAGUGAUCUUCUUCCCCUCCCUACUUCUCCUUUGAUUAUAAAACUAGCCCAUUAAGUUCUUAGAGCAGCAUCCUUUGCCUGCCAGCUUGUAGCUCUCACACGCAUCCUAUAUUAAUAGCCUGUUGCUUUGCCUCUUGCUGAAUUCUUUAUGCUCUGAGACAGAAGAACCUAAGCUUCAUUAAUUCCUAAGAUGAGUUCUGUGUUUUCAGACUAGGUAAAUGGUUUUAAUUAAAGAGAGGGGUUCGAGCCCCCUCCUAAGUCAGGGACCACGGGUUCAAGUCCCAGUCUAAAGAAUGGCUAUGUUCAAGCCCUACUCAGGAAGUGCAGUUUUGAUAUGUCUUGAUGUGUCUAUCUCAUUUCUUUCACCUAUUUUAUUUUAUUUAUUUAUUUUUUUGUCCUUUUGCCUUUUCUAGAGCCACACCCGCGGCAUAUGGAGGUUCCCAGGCUAGGGUUCGAAUCGGAGCUGUAGCCACCAGCCUACGCCAGAGCCACAGCAAUGCAGGAUCCAAGCUGCGUCUGAGACCUACACUACAGCUCAGGCAACGCCGGAUCGUUAACCCACUGAGCAAGACCAGGGAUCGAACCCACAACCUCAUGGUUCCUAGUCGGAUUCGUUAACCACUGAGCCACGACGGGAACUCCAUUACCUAUUUUAUUGGUUCAUUGGAUUUUGUCUUAUUGAUAUGUGAGAACCCUCUACAUACUAGAUAAAUUAGUCCUAUUAAGUUAGUCCUUGUUGUACAAGUUGCAAAUGUUCCCCUGGUUUAGAGAUUAUUUCGUGAAUUGACUUAUAGUGAUCUCUGCAUGCAGAAAUUCUCUGUUUAUCUGGAGUUGAACUUGUCAUUUUUUUUCUUAUGGUUUAUUGCUUUUAUGUCAUACUUAGAAAACUUUCCUUACUCCAAUUUUAUAAAAAUAUUCUCCAAUGGCUUAUUGAAGUAUUGCUUUUAAGCUUUCAUUCUUCAUAUUUAAAUCUUUAAUUCAUUGUCAUUUAUUGUGGUGUCACAUAGAUUAUUUCUUCAUAGUUGAUCAAUGGUCCCUACAGACUUGAGAUGUCAACUUAAUCAUAUAUUUAAUCCUCAUAUGUGUCCCAGUCUAUUUCUUGCCUUCCAGUUGGUUUCAUUGAUUUAUCUCUUUUCAUAUUCCAAUACUAUGUUCUUUGUUUUAUGGUUUUGGAUUUUAAAUAUUUAAUAUUUUAAAUAUUUAAUAUAACAUCUUAAAAUAUUUUAAAUAUCCAGGCUAGCUUUCUCCCCUUGCAUUAGUCUUCUUUUCCAGAAUCUUGUAGUCAAUUUUUGAUUAUUUUAUUUUUUCAUUUGAAUGUUAGAUUCAGUUUGUCCAGCUCAAAAAAAAAAAAAAAAAAGGAAAAAAUCAGUAAUAUUAUUUUGGGGGUUAUGUUAAAUGCAUAGAUUAACCCAGCAAAAAUAUAUAUAACAUUUAAUUUUCCCAUGUAAAACAUGGUUCGCCUUUCUACUUGUUUACAUCUUUUUUUGAGACCUUAGGAAUGGAUAUACUUUGUUUUCAUAAAAGUUCACACAUUUCUUGUUUUGUUUAUUCUAAGGGUUUUUGUUGUUGUUGUUGUUGUUGUUAUUGUUUUUUACUAUUGCAAUUACAGGUACAAAGAAUUGCAAGAUAAGAUUCAAUGCUCAAAAACAAUUCUCAUGCCACGAGGAUUUCCAUACUUGAGGAGCUGAACUCCAACAACAGAACAUUCAGUUUACCAGAACCACUAAAAUAUGUGAUGCAUGCCAUUAAAAAAAAUAAUAAGUCUG